UCUUCCCUCUUUCUUCGUGCCUAAUACAUGCAAGUCGAGCGAACAGACGAGGAGCUUGCUCCUCUGACGUUAGCGGCGGACGGGUGAGUAACACGUGGAUAACCUACCUAUAAGACUGGGAUAACUUCGGGAAACCGGAGCUAAUACCGGAUAAUAUGUUGAAUCGCAUGGUUCAACAGUGAAAGACGGUCUUGCUGUCACUUAUAGAUGGAUCCGCGCCGCAUUAGCUAGUUGGUAAGGUAACGGCUUACCAAGGCAACGAUGCGUAGCCGACCUGAGAGGGUGAUCGGCCACACUGGAACUGAGACACGGUCCAGACUCCUACGGGAGGCAGCAGUAGGGAAUCUUCCGCAAUGGGCGAAAGCCUGACGGAGCAACGCCGCGUGAGUGAAGAAGGUCUUCGGAUCGUAAAACUCUGUUAUUAGGGAAGAACAAAUGUGUAAGUAACUAUGCACGUCUUGACGGUACCUAAUCAGAAAGCCACGGCUAACUACGUG
rnacentral:rRNA from 1 species